rnacentral:rRNA from 1 species
AGAGGGUGCGAGCGUUAAUCGGAUUUACUGGGCGUAAAGCGUGCGUAGGCGGCUUCUUAAGUCGGAUGUGAAAUCCCUGAGCUUAACUUAGGAAUUGCAUUCGAUACUGGGAAGCUAGAGUAUGGGAGAGGAUGGUAGAAUUCCAGGUGUAGCGGUGAAAUGCGUAGAGAUCUGGAGGAAUACCGAUGGCGAAGGCAGCCAUCUGGCCUAAUACUGACGCUGAGGUACGAAAGCAUGGGGAGCAAAC